rnacentral:tRNA from 1 species
UCCCUGAUAGUCCAGUGGCUAAGAUUUUGCACUCCAAUGCAGGGGGCCCAGGUUCAACCCCUGAUCAGGGAA